ensembl:lncRNA
AUGCAAUCUUUAAAUUGGAACGGUGUGGAGAGUCAUGGACAGAGGAAAGAACAAUGCCAAGGAGAGGCUGUCCAGGGAAACUUUCAUGGUUCUUUGCUGCCCAAGACCACCUUCAGGCUUGGUGGUUUACUAGGAGGAUUCACUAGACUCAGAAGAGGUGUGAUACUCAUGAUGACAGUUUAUUACAACAAAAAGACACAGACCAAGAUCACCAAAGGGAGAAGGCACGUGUAAUGAAGUCCGGGAGAAACCAAGCACCGCUUCCAGGUGAUCCCUCCCUGUGCAGCUCACAGGAACUCAAAUUUCAGCAAAGAUGUGUGACAACAUGUUCAGUUAUCGCCAACAAAGGAAGGUCACCCAAGCUUCAGAGUCCACAGAUUCCUUUACUGAGGCUCACAGCGCCUAAGUGACCUACCAUGGAUACUCAGGAUCCGCAGAAGGCAAAGAUGUAGUGCUGCCUCAGGCAAUACAAAGUCCACCCUUCAUCAUGAGUCACAUUGUUAGCAUAAAUUAUCUGGUCAUAAUGAUACAGUGGGACCUACAGGCGUAAGCAUAAAAAUCGCUCUCACUAGUCAAGAUAUUCCAAGGACUCAGAAGUGGUCUUCCUGGAGCUGGUCAAGGGCAAGUCCUUAUUUUUUUCUUUCUUUUUGCCACACUGCACGGCUUGUGGGAUCUUAGUUCCCCAGCCAGGGAUUGAACCCAGGCCCUCAGUAAUGAAAGUGCAGAGUCCUAACCACUGGACCACCAGGGAAGUCCCCCACAGGUACAUUUUAGAACACGUUCAGGUGCAUAUUAGAACCUCGUUACUAUGGCUGACAAAGUUCUACACAAUUUGCCUCCCUUUAUCUCUCCAACUUACCUCAUACCACUCUAGCCCCUGAAGAUGCAGCUCUAAGCCACGCUAGCCUUGCUUUUCUGCAAACACCCCAAUACACUCCGAACCCAGGAAUGUCUUUCUCAAAGACCUAGGAAUCCAUCUCUUUGAAAUGAAGACAUCAAAGGAGAUAGCAUCCCUACAUCCCAGCUUCUGUGGGAGGGUAGGAGCCUAACUUUGACAGGCACCUUGCUCCAAGUAGCAAAACUACCUCUGUCAUAAAGAAUUGAGAAGUUAGUUUUCCCUUCUAGAAAGCCAGUGUAACAGCAGAUAGUCACCCCAAUUACCAGGUAAAUUUAGGGUGAACUAUGUGUAACAAAUGGUGCUGUCAAUACUCGAGAACUAAUUAUUGUUUGAAAAUGUAUGUAAUGGGUUGUGUCUGUUUGGCUAUAUGAAAGGGUGAGUUUUAUUCUUUGCAAUCUCUUAGCAGCUGUGCUGUGCAUCACAUUCUGGUUUAAUGCUUAUACAAUAUUAAACUUUUAUUUCUCUACUAUCUUUUCGGAGAGGUUUUUCUGAGUUGGAGGAGAUUUUUUCCUUUUUAAAUUUCCCCACCAAUUCACACUAUUACCUGUCUAAAAGAAUUCAAUUGCAAAUGUUUUUGAAAUUUCUGUGUAUGCCAAACAAAUAAAUAUGGGGGAUGAUUUUACUAUUUGAGACCCAGAAUGCAAACUGAUUACUGGGUCCAACAAAUACACUUGACCCUUGAACAAAAGGGGUUGAACUGCCUAGGUCCACUUAGGCAGGUUUUUUUCAAUAGUAAAUGCUAUAGCACUGCACCACUUGGGGUUGUUUGAACCCCUCCCUGGAUGCAGACCCGCAGAUAUGGAGGAAUCUCAAAUACUGAUAAGGCAAGCUGGAACGUGGGACCAUUUGCUGCAGUGCUUGCACCUGGACAAACAUCUCCUCCAGCAACAAAAUACAAAGAAACUAUAAGGGACUAAAAAUAACUGCGUGCAUGUGCAGUUGGGGCAAAUUAUGAGCAACAAGAUACAAAAAGACCAAAAACCCAACUGUCACUUCUAAGGAGCUGGGAACAGAAGCAGGGUACCAGGAGCAAAAACAAGGUACUGGGAGCAAAAACGGUACUGUGCAUGCCCCCUGCACACAGCACCACCAAGGAGGUGGGCAGAUUACCUAAGCCACCCCUCCAGCCCCACCCCUGGGCUCACCUCGUUUAAGGGCCCAGCCUGCCCCGCUUCAGGGAGCGAGCCAGCGAACCUGCUACUUGUUUUCUCCCUCCUGCUGCAGGAGUCCCAAUAAAGCCUUACCUGAAUUUCUCCUCAGGCCUCAUAUCAAUUUCUAUUGAUUAGGGAGUCCAAGAACCCUGGUGGUAACACUGAGGGCCAACCAUAAGUUAUAUGCUGAAGGUCAGCACCCUUAAAUACCACCCCCGCCCCAUCCCGCUUGUUCAAGGAUCAGCUGUGCUGUAGUAAGUACAUGAGACAGGAGGGCUGAAUGCAGCUGUGGUCCGUGCCCCCACUUCAAGUGGCCCGGGCAGUCCUGGGCUGGGGGAGGCAGGUGUAUUGGGGGAGGGCACACAAGCCACAGGAUACUGGGGGACAGAGGCACAAAUUUCGGGGAGCUCCACAGUGGUGACCCUCACAUAAGCGAGUGACUGAGGAGGACCCUGGGGAGCGGCCUGAAUAGGACACGCCCUUCAAGCUGGGGCCAGUUGGGCUGCACGUGGUUCUGGAGUUUGCCAACUGCAUAACGUACCCCGGCAGCUUCCUACGGUGUGUUUAUAUUCAGCCACACCUGCGUCACGUCACUGAGUUCGUUAAAGCAGUCACUCAGUCACGGAUUUAUAUGUUUGCUCAUUCAUUCAGGCUUCUUGCAUUACAAACUCUCCACACCCCUCCACCCUCUCUCCCCUUCCGGUUUCUGGCGCUCCCUCCUCUCGUGUCUUUCU